rnacentral:rRNA from 1 species
UACGUAGGGGGCAAGCGUUGUCCGGAAUUAUUGGGCGUAAAGAGCGCGUAGGCGGUCCGAUAAGUCGGCUGUGAAAGUCCAGGCUCAACCCUGGAAAGCCGGCCGAUACUGUCGGACUAGAGUCCGGAAGAGGCAAGGUGGAAUUCCCGGUGUAGCGGUGAAAUGACGUAGAGAUCCGGCGGAACACCGGGUGGUGAAGACGGUCUCCUGGGC